UACAGAGGGGACAAGCGUUAUUCGGAAUUAUUGGGCGUAAAGGGCGCGUAGGCGGCUUGGCAAGUGGAAGGUGAAAUCCCUCGGCUUAACCGAGGAACUGCCCUCCAAACUGCUUUGCUUGAGGCCGGGAGAGGUGAGUGGAAUUCCCGAGUAUAGCGGUGAAAUGCGUAGAUAUUGGGAGGAACACCAGUGGCGAAGGCGGCUCACUGGACCGGUUCUGACGCUGAGGCGCGAAAGCGUGGGGAGCAAACGGG
rnacentral:rRNA from 1 species